ACAGCUGCUUGCUGUGAGGAUCUCUCUACUGCUCUCAGUUCAAACCAGUCCCGGACUGAGCUGGAGCUGAGUGGGAAUAAACUGGGAGAUUCAGGAAUUUAAAAUUCUGUGUAAAGGACUGAAACAUCCCAGCUGUAAACUGCAGAAAUUAGUGGUUUGGGAUUGCCAUCUGACUGAUGAUUGCUGUGAAGAUCUCUCCUCUCUGCUCAGCACAAACUGGUCCCUGAGAGAGUUGAACCUGAGUGGUAAUAAGCUGAGUUAUUCAGGAGUGAAGCUUCUGUGUGAAGGACUGAAACACCCAAACUGCAAGUUAGAGAAGCUCGACUUGUCUGAAAGCCAUAUAGAUGAAAAGACAAGCAAAGAGUUGCAAGUUUUUCAGAAGAUAAAACCUGGUGUCAUGCUUGUAGUUUAGGCAGCAUCCAGCCAUCAGAGUCCGGGUACAACGCAAGCAGGAUGUCUUUUCUUCUGUAGACUAAAGACUCGGAGUACAGAAAUGGUGUGAAAUAUUUUUGUGAUUCACUGGCUGCAGGUUGGACUUAUUCUGCUGUUAAGAAUUGCUACAUAUUGUCUUCUCUGGCUGAUGAAUAUUUAAGUAUCUGAAAUGCAAGGCCGCAUAGAGAAUUAACAAGUCUUCAGACAGUUUUUGACUCCUGUGAUGCUGAGCCAGAAAGGGUUAAGCAAUUAGCAGGGUAAAUGAUCCAUAUUCUACCUUUGAAGACAUAUAUUAGGGAAAUAUGUAAAUGGUAAUUAGGGCUAUUCCUUACAAGUAGCUAGCAAAGCAAUGUUAGAUAGACUAGAGCUUUGAAAUGUAAACUUGUAUUGUUAAAGAACUGGAUGAAGAUAGCAAUUGUAGUAGUCUGUUUACCUAUAUCUUGUUAGAGGUUAACAAUGUAACCAAACUGUUCCUGUCUAGGGCUGUAUUCUGUUAAUUUAGGGAUCAAAAGGAAAUAUUCAUAUUUAGAUAAAACUUGGGUGAAAUAAUGUCAUUGUCUACAAGUCUCUUUAACAUUUGUGAUAAACUGCUUGAUGGAUAAUUACCUUAUGUUAAUCCAUGUAGUUAGGAGUUUCCACAGUGCUGAUAUUGGAAGUGAUCAUGACCUUGUGAUGCUAAACUUCCAGCUGCAGCUAAAGAAAAUUGUCAAGCCAAAGUUCACAAAAAUCAAGUUGGGCUUAGAAAGACUCAGAGACUGAAGCAUUGAAGAGUCAUUCCAAGCAAUGAUCAGCAGAAAAUUUGCCCCGCUGCUUGCUCUAGAAGAAGACGUAGAGACAAUGACCAACUAUUUUAACAUGGUAAUUAAUGAGGCAGCAAUGGACAUCCUUGGGAAAUGCCAUAAGAAGACAAAACCUUGGGACACAAAUGAAAUAAUGCAAAUGUGUUAUAUUAGAAGAGAACUCAAAGAGACAAGAACAGCACUGAGGGAUUUGAUAAAUACAGAGCGAUUGGCAGAAAGAUCAAGAAAGGAAUGAAGGUGGCCAGGGAGAUAUGGAUCGAAAAGCAAUGCACUAAAAUUGAAGAGUGUAUCAAUAAUAAAAAUAGUAAAUGAGCCUUCCAGAUUGUAAAAGAUCUGAUGAAGGAAAGAUGGACCAAAGCUAAUGCAAUUCAAGACAAAGAAGGGAACAGUCUUACAGAAGAAAGCGACAUCAUCAAUAGGUGGACAAACGACUGCUCUGAUCUAUACAACUACCAGACAAAUGGAGAUCCUAGUGUCCUAGACAGCCCAGAUUCUACAGAGGAGGAUGUCUUUCCAAUAAUGCAUGAAGAAGUGGAGACAGCUGUGAAAUCGCUCAAGAACGGAAAGGCUACAGGUAUUGACAACAUCCUAGUUGAACUGAUAAAAUUCGGAGGAGAAAUAGUAAUAGAUAUGCUCAUCAAGAUCUGGCUGACUGGUGAGUGGCCCUCCACAUGGACACUGUCACUAAUCAUCACUCUGCCAAAGAAAGGCAACCUGCAAUUGUGUCAAAAUUACUAGACCGUAAGCUUAAUUAGCCAUCCCAGUAAAGUGAUGUUGAAAGUCAGAUCAAACAGAUUGAAGCCACAAGCAGAGAAUAUCAUCGCUGAAGAACACGCUGGCUUUUGUGCUGGAAGAAGUACCACAGAAUAGAUUUUUCAACCUUCGUGUUUUAUGUGAGAAGUAUGUACAACACUAGCAGGACGCCUGCCACGUCUUUGUUGAUUUCAAGAAGGCGUUUGACAGAGUAUGGCACGAAGCUCUCUGGGCAACCAUGAAGAAGUACAAUGUUAGUCGAAAGCUGAUUACCAUUAAACAACUGUAUGCCAAGGCCAGCAGUGCAAUUCUCGUCAAUGGCACAAUAGGAGAGUAGUUUCACACCACCGUUGGAGUCCGGCAAGGCUGCCUUCUUUUGCCUACACUGUUCAACAUCUACUUGGAGCGCAUAAUGACUGAUGCCCUAAAAGAUCACAUAUGCACAGUCAGCACUGGGGGGUGAACCAUCUCAAAUCUUUGGUUCGCUGAUGACAUUGAUGGCCUGGCAGGUAGCAAAGAUGAACUUGCCAGCCUUGUGAAACAAUUGGAUGAAACCUCCGCAAAAUGUGGCAUGGAAAUCAGUGCAGAGAAAACCAAGAC